rnacentral:lncRNA from 10 species
ACAAUGUGCAGCAUUUUUCAGAUUGGCUUUUAAUGCUAGCAACAUGCAAUUAAGAUUCAUCCACUUCUUUUCCUGGCUUCUUUUUAGCACUGAAUAAUAUUCUAUUGUAUGAAGGGAUCACAGAUUGUUUAUCCAUUAACCUAUUAAAAGCAUCUUGUUUGCUUCCAAGUGUUGGCGAUUAUGAAUAUGGCUGCUAUAAACAUCCAUGUGCUGGUUUUUGGGUGCACAUAAGUUUUCAAUUCAUUUUGAAGAAUGCCAAGGAAGUAUUCCAUUCUGCAUUGUAUGUGGUCUUUCAAUAAACGUUGCUGAAUGAGGGACUGAAUAUCAAUCCACAGUCAACUUUCCAAUCUGUGUGGUUACGUGGGUUACAGCAAUAAAAGGCAUACAACCCUAAUUAAGGAUGUCACAGCUUAGUGAGAGAAAAAAAAAUUAUACUUUGCCAAACCCAGAGUGAGAAAGGCUUCCUGAAGAAGGUGGAAAGCAAGCUGACUACUGAAAGGAUUGACUUUAUGUGGCAUGUGCAAAUAUGUAAGAAGGUGACUUAAAAGGUGAAACUGGAACACAGAGACAAAGAAAAGUCAACAAAGGCUCUAACAUCAACAUGACCUUGGAUAAGGUGUACAUUUCAUCAGGACAGAUGACUCGAAUGGGUAAACUUAGUCACCUCAUCAGCAGCCAUCCUGGAGAACAGAGCACUGGGCUUAAAAAUCAUUUCUUCCAACGGUCUCCAUCCUUUGUCCCUGAAAGAAAAUUCAUGCUCCCAAUCUCCAAGCACUCUGGCUAUCUUUCUUGCUAAAAAGAAAUCUGUUUGGGAUGCCAGUCAUUAACCUAAGAGAGCUAUGAUGUGUUCCUUCCAUUCUGGGCUCCUUGUGGGCUAAGCUUGAGCCACAGUAUUUGGUUUAAGGCCCUUGUCCGGGUCUAAUGGGUCACUGUCUAAUAGAAUGUAAAUCUACACUUGUUGCUUCUAUAUUCUUUCUUUCUCUUUUUUUCUUUUUUACUUUUUUAGACGGGUGCUUGCUCUGUCGCCCAGGAUAGAGUGCAGUGACGCCAUCAUAGCUCACUACAGCUUCGACCACUGGGCUCAAACAUCCUCCCACCUCAGUCUCCCAAGUAACUGGGACCACACAGGCACACAUCACGCUGCCUAGCUUGUUCCACUAUUUUGAACAGGUCCUUUUUUUCUUUUCUUUUUUUCUCCUUUAGAGAUAUAAAAGUAUAAACCAGAUACUUAGCUUCACCUCAGGUAUAACGUGGUAGAAAGACCUAAACUAGGAAUUGAAUGCCCAGUUGUCAAAGUGGCCCCACUACUAAACAACCCUGGAACUUUACACAAAUCACAAAUUUUCUGGGACCCCAGUUUCUUGUCUCUACAAUAGUGGAACCAAACAAAUGGUGUUUCAACGUUGUUUCUAGUUCCAAAAAUGCUCAUAAUCCUAAUUCUUAGUAAAUCACUUCUAUUUUUAUUCAGAGGUAACAGGGUGUGAUAUAAAAAAACACAAGCUUGGACUCAGACAGACAUGGAUUGAACCAUGUUUGACACUGAGGUUAGAACAUCUCUGAUAUGCAAUUUCCUUCCUAUAAAAUAGAGAUAGUAUUACCUAACUCACCAGGUAGUUAUGAAUAUUAAUCAGACAAUAUAUAUCAACUAUUUACCGUGGUUUGUUUACAGUAGAGCCUUAAUUUUUUUUUAAAAAAGUGCCCUAAUCAUGUUUUCAAGUUGGCACUUACUUUAGAAAUCAGCAUGAAUUUGAGGCUUUCAAAGCACCACUUGUGGUAUGUAUUAUUUCCUCAAUUGUCACAUUAAAAUUUUUCUUCUUGAUAUUUAUUUUAAUUUUCAAAUAGAAAGUUUGCUUUUCUGUUUCCUUUCUAUAAAUAUUACCCCUUACCAGAGUAGCCUCC